UUUUUUUUUUUUUAAAUACGUUUUAACAUUUUUAGUUAUGUGAACCUGGAAACUAUACUCUUUACUGGUGUGCUGAUAAUGCUGAUGCAUUUUUUCAAAAAGGUAAAUUUGCAAGUGACAUAAAAGCAAAAGGAAUAGUUGCAAAAUAUAUCGAUUUAAGCGACCCAACUGGAAAUUGUGGUUGUAAUCAAGAUCAGUUUAUUACUUAUACAAUGAUAUUCCGUGGUUUUUCAAAUCAAGCUCCUAUCAGAGAAUGCGAGAAAUUAAAUAAUAUUACUAACUCAUAAAUAUUAAUAUCUAUCAUUUAAUUGUUUUUAAUUGUUUUUAAUCAAUCUUCUUAUCGAGUCAAUGAAUGUUACCUACAUAUUUAUAUGUAUUUAAGAUUAUGACAAUAAAUAAAUAAAUCUGCCUAUUUGGACCUAACCUAACCCCCCUCCCCCACCUUGUUUACGUGCUUGACUUAAACCUUGCAUAAGAUAAUGUUAUAUUGUAAACAAUUAAACAAAUAUUCAGUGAA